rnacentral:rRNA from 1 species
AUUGAACGCUGGCGGCAGGCCUAACACAUGCAAGUCGAGCGGAUGAAGGGAGCUUGCUCCUGGAUUCAGCGGCGGACGGGUGAGUAAUGCCUAGGAAUCUGCCUGGUAGUGGGGGAUAACGUCCGGAAACGGGCGCUAAUACCGCAUACGUCCUGAGGGAGAAAGUGGGGGAUCUUCGGACCUCACGCUAUCAGAUGAGCCUAGGUCGGAUUAGCUAGUUGGUGGGGUAAAGGCCUACCAAGGCGACGAUCCGUAACUGGUCUGAGAGGAUGAUCAGUCACACUGGAACUGAGACACGGUCCAGACUCCUACGGGAGGCAGCAGUGGGGAAUAUUAGACGAUGGGCGAAAACCUGUUCCAGCCAUGCCACGUGUGUGAAGAAAGUCUUCUGAUUGUAAAGCACAUUAAGUUGGGAGAAAGGGCAGUAAGUUAAUACCUUGCUGUUUUGACGUUACCAACAGAAUAAGCACCGGCUAACUUCGUG